rnacentral:lncRNA from 1 species
UUAUAAAACCAGUAAUAGUGGAUGGAGCAGCUCUGGGUGGAGAGAGGUUAGGGGCUCAGGACACUUCUCUCUCUGAAACUGUGUUUCAGGCCUUUUCAUGGAACCCUCAAAGCAUAGCACAUGGAACCAGAGCAUUGAAAGCCACUGGCAUAAUUGCAUUUGAUACGAUCAGUGCCAGCAGAUUUGCUGUGUGACUUGGGCCUAUCACCAAACCUCUCCGGGCCUCUUCUGUCCCCUGGAGCUUCUGCCACCAGCCAUUGAUCCCUCUGUCACCCUUCUGUCCCUUGGCCCUCUCUUUUGCCAGGCUGGCUUUGGAACGGAGCAGCUCUGCCCAGGAGGCCUUGCAUGUGAUCACAGGGUUACUGGAGCACUAUGGGCAGGGGGGCAACUGCCUGGAGGAUGCUGCGCCAUUCUCCUACCAUAGCACCUUCCUGCUGGCUGACCGCACUGAGGCGUGGGUGCUGGAGACAGCUGGGAGGCUCUGGGCUGCACAGAGGAUCCAGGAGGGGGCCCGCAACAUCUCCAACCAGCUGAGCAUUGGCACGGACAU